rnacentral:sRNA from 1 species
AUGCGCGCGCCCGGGCGGCGCGGGGUCUGGGUCUGGGGAUGUGGUACCGUCUGCUGGCGGCGGCCGGCAGUAGAGCGGUGGCCGGGCCGCUGGCCUUGUUGUGGCGAUGUGGUGGCCCAGGAGGCGGCAGGACGGCCAAGACCAGCGCGAGGGCCCUGGGCAAGGCCCGACAGAAGAAGCUAGUAAAGCUCAUCUGGUCUCUUGUUUCAGUGCUUCCAGGGGAUCCACUUUCAGAAGCUGACUCUGCAGGCAAGACCGACGUUAUUUUCCCGGUGGCUGUGUUCAAAACCACCCAAAGGGUUUGAGAAAUACUUUAAGAGGAGUGGAAGGAACACAAACUGAGAAACAUCAACAGCACCAAAAAAAGAGACUGGUGAACUAGAGAAUGCUGAGUCUGGAGGAGACGGAGGCAGGAGAGGAGGGAAGCGGGAUAACGUUGCCUGGUGGAGGCGGAUGCAGAAGGGGGGACUUCCCCUGGGGUGACGAGGAUUUCCGCAGUCUGGCCCUUUUAGGGGCAGGCGUUGCCGUGGGAUUUUUCUACCUCUAUUUUCGAGAUCCUGGAAGAGAAAUCACUUGGAAGCACUUUGUACAGUAUUACCUGGCCAGAGGUCUGGCGGACCGGCUGGAAGUUGUGAACAAACAAUCUGUGCGUGUUAUUCCUGCCCCUGGGACCUCUUCUGAAGGUUCAACUCUGCCACCAACGUCGUGGUGUUGGCUGGCACCAACCGCCCUGACGUCCUGGACCCGGCCCUCAUGCGGCCUGGCUGGUUUCAUCGCCAGAUUUACACUGGUCCUCCUGACAUCAAAGGCAGGUCCUCCAUCUUUAAGGUCCACCUGCGCCCACUGAAGCUGGACGAGAGCCUCAAUAAGGACGCCCUGGCGAGGAAGCUGGCAGCGCUCACCCCAGGCUUCCCUGAGGGGGAUGACUCAGCAGGGAUGACUCAGCACUACCCCUCAACAGAGAUGACUUUGAUGACUCUGCCCCUCAGCAGGGCUUACUAAGCACUACCCCUUAACAGGGAUGACUCUGCACUGCCCCUCAACAGGGAUGACUCAGCAGAGAUGACAGCACUGUCCCUCAGCAGGGAUGACACAGCAAGGAUGACUCAGCACUGCCCCUCAGCAAGGAUGACGCAGCACUGCCACUCAACAGGGAUGACUCAGGGAUGGCUCAGUACUGCCCCUCAGCAGGGAUGACUCAGCACUGCCCCUCAACAGGGAUGACUCAGCAGGGAUGACUCAGCACCGCCCCUCAACAGGCAUGACUCUGCAGAGAUGACUUAGCACUGCCCCUCAGCAGGGAUGGCUCAGCAGGGAUGACUCAGCACUGCCCCUCAGCAAGGAUGACGGAGCACUGCCGCUCAACAGGGAUGACUCAGCAGGGAUGACUCAGUACUGCCCCUCAGCAGGGAUGACUCAGCACUGCCCCUCAGCAGGGAUGACUCAGCACAGCCCCUCAACAGGGAUGACUCAGCAGGGAUGACUCAGUACUGCCCCUCAGCAGGGAUGACUCCGCACUGCCCCUCAACAGGGAUGACUCAGCAGGGAUGACUCAGCACCACCCCUCAACAGGCAUGACUCUUCAGAGAUGACUUAGCACUGCCCCUCAGCAAGGAUGACUCAGCAGGGAUGACUCAGCACUGCCCCUCAACAGGGAUGACUCAGCAGACUCAGCGGGGAUGACGCAGCACUGUCCCUCAGCAGGCAUGACUCAGCAGGGAUGACUCAGCACUGCCCCUCAGCAAGGAUGACUCAGCAGGGAUGAUUCAGCAGAGAUAACUCGGGGAUGACUCUGACUGCCCCUCAGCAGGGAUGAGUCUGUUUUGCUCUGAUGGAAGCAUCUGUAGUGUCCAUCAGCAGGUGAACAGCCAAAGUGGUAUAUACUGUAGUCAAAUUCAGCUAUAAAAAGGAAUAAAGUAUCGAUGCAUGCCACAACAUGGGUGAACCUAGAAAAUACUGUUCUAAAUGCAAGAAGCCAGGCACAAAAGGCCACAUAGUAUAUGUUCCCAUUUAUGUGAAAUGUGCAGAAUAAUAAUAAAAAUGUAUAGAACAGCAAAUCUGUAGGGACAGACAUGAGGUGAGUGGUUGCCAGAAGUGGAAAUGGGAGUUAACUAUAAAUAGCACAGGGUACCUUACAGAGAUGAUGGAAAUGUCCUAAAGCUAGAUUAUGGCAUCAGUUGCACUACGUGAUCAGUUUAUUAAAAAUCGUUGAUGUGUGUGUGUAGAAUGGGUGGAUUUUAUGGUUUAUAAAUUAUACCUUAAUAAAGGUUAACAAAAAAUGUGGCU